rnacentral:rRNA from 1 species
UUCCACGGAGAGUUUGAUCCUGGCUCAGGACGAACGCUGGCGGCGUGCCUAACACAUGCAAGUCGAACGGUCCCGCACUCAAC